GGUUAAGUGAAUAAGGGCGCACGGUGGAUGCCUUGGCACUAGGAGCCGAUGAAGGACGGGACUAACACCGAUAUGCUUUGGGGAGCUGUACGUAAGCUAUGAUCCAGAGAUUUCCGAAUGGGGGAACCCAACAUCUUUAAUAGGAUGUUACGAUUGUGUGAAUACAUAGCACAUUCGAGGUAGACGCAGAGAACUGAAACAUCUAAGUACCUGCAGGAAGAGAAAGAAAAUUCGAUUCCCUGAGUAGCGGCGAGCGAAACGGGAAAAGCCCAAACCAGCAAGCUUGCUUGUUGGGGUUGUAGGACUCCAAUAUGGUAGUUCUUUCAGAUAGUCGAAUGACUUGGAAAAGUCAGUCAAAGAGGGUAAAAACCCCGUAGACGAAAUGUGGAAGACACCUAGGAGGAUCCUGAGUACGGCGGAACACGAGAAAUUCCGUCGGAAUCCGGGAGGACCAUCUCCCAAGGCUAAAUACUCCCUAGUGACCGAUAGUGAACCAGUACCGUGAGGGAAAGGUGAAAAGCACCCCGGAAGGGGAGUGAAAUAGAACCUGAAACCGUGUGCCUACAACAAGUCAAAGCCCGUUAAUGGGUGAUGGCGUGCCUUUUGUAGAAUGAACCGGCGAGUUACGAUUGCAUGCGAGGUUAAGUUGAAGAGACGGAGCCGCAGCGAAAGCGAGUCUGAAUAGGGCGUUUGAGUAUGUAGUCGUAGACCCGAAACCAUGUGAUCUACCCAUGUCCAGGUUGAAGGUGCGGUAAAACGCACUGGAGGACCGAACCCACGUACGUUGAAAAGUGCGGGGAUGAGGUGUGGGUAGCGGAGAAAUUCCAAACGAACUUGGAGAUAGCUGGUUCUCUCCGAAAUAGCUUUAGGGCUAGCCUCGGAAUUGAGAAUGAUGGAGGUAGAGCACUGUUUGGACUAGGGGCCCAUCUCGGGUUACCGAAUUCAGAUAAACUCCGAAUGCCAUUCAUUCAUAUCCGGGAGUCAGACUGUGAGUGAUAAGAUCCAUAGUCGAAAGGGAAACAGCCCAGACCACCAGCUAAGGUCCCAAAAUAUAUGUUAAGUGGAAAAGGAUGUGGGGUUGCACAGACAACUAGGAUGUUGGCUUAGAAGCAGCCACCAUUUAAAGAGUGCGUAAUAGCUCACUAGUCGAGUGACCCUGCGCCGAAAAUGUACCGGGGCUAAACAUAUUACCGAAGCUGUGGAGUACACCUUUAGGUGUAUUGGUAGGAGAGCGUUCUAAGGGCGUUGAAGGCAGAUCGUGAGGACUGCUGGAGCGCUUAGAAGUGAGAAUGCCGGUAUGAGUAGCGAAAGACAGGUGAGAAUCCUGUCCACCGAAUGACUAAGGUUUCCUGGGGAAGGCUCGUCCGCCCAGGGUUAGUCGGGACCUAAGCCGAGGCCGACAGGCGUAGGCGAUGGAUAACAGGUUGAUAUUCCUGUACCCGUUGUUUUUGUUUGAGCAAUGGAGGGACGCAGGAGGCUAAGGAAUGCAGACGAUCGGAAAUGUCUGUC
rnacentral:rRNA from 1 species